rnacentral:rRNA from 1 species
AAUCAACGCUGGCGGCGCGCUUAACACAUGCAAGUCGAACGAGAAAGUCCGCAAGGAUGAGUAAAGUGGCGCACGGGUGAGUAACACGUGGAUUAUCUACCUUCUAGUGGGGGAUAACUCUGGGAAACCGGAGCUAAUACCGCAUAAGCUCGAGAGAGGAAAGCAGCAAUGCGCUGGAAGAGGAGUCCGCGGCCGAUUAGCUAGUUGGUAGGGUAACGGCCUACCAAGGCGAUGAUCGGUAGCCGGCCUGAGAGGGCACACGGCCACACUGGCACUG